GGGGGUGAUGACUUGCUGUCCAGGCAGCUCCCUCCUGCAGACAGAAUGCUCAGGGUCACUGAACCACUGCUUCUCUUUCGAAAGUAGAGCUGGCUGCCACUUUCACGUGGCCUCUGGCGUGUCUCCACCUACACCCUGUGCUCCCCUGCCACACUGAUGGCUCAAGAUAAGGCUGGCAAUCCCUCCCAGAAACCUCUCUGGCCCAGAGCCCUUCUCUCUCCCCACCUCUCAGGGGCCAUGGCCAAGCCAAGCGCUCACAUUGAGCCAGUGAGCCAGCCACAGAGCAACAGAGGGUUUGUUUUCAGUCCCCUCUGUCUGGGUCAGAACCAGAGAGCAUGCUGAAUGCCCCCUGCUUGCUCAGUAAGGCUGCCCCUCCUGAGUCAGUGCUCUCAGCUGGCAGUGCCAAUGCUUGUAGAAGUAGGAGGAAGCAGUCCUCACUGGAAGGGCAAGAACCCAAGUGCCUCACCUCGAAAGGAGGCCCUGUUCCCUGGAGUCAGGGUAGAUUGCAAAGGUUUGGCUGAGACUUGGGAUUUGAGAGAACCACAAAACCUGCUGAACAGAGUGACUGUUCAGCAGACUAACCAGCAUUUCCUACGGCCUAGGGCAGACAAUAGUAUAGAAGUCUGGAAAAAAACAAACAGAACAUGAGUGGUCUUAAAACCUUGGACCACUCCUGUCCCUGUACCUCAGUCAUCAAAGCAGAAGCCUGGCUUUGCUCUAUUAAGAUUGGAAAUGUACACUACCGAACGCUCAGUCCACUGUUGAGCCCCAGUGGUGGAAGGGAGGAGGGUCUUUCUUCCUGUGUUAAUCGAAUAGAGGCUACAGGGGUUAGCCUGGACUAAAGGCAUCCUUGUCUUUUGAGCUAUUCACCUCAGUAGGAAAAGAAUCUAAGGGAAGAUCAAUGUAGUUUAGAUCUGUUGACUUGUGACCCCUUGGAAAUGUCUGCUGGGUACUUCUAAUUCCACAGGUCACCAGAGGCCUGCUUGAUAAUAUAAGAACAAUAAAAAUAACUUUCACUUCUUCCUAUUGUAAUUGUGUGCCAUGGAUCUGAUCUGUACCAUCACCCUUACAUAAGUCUGGGUGGAGACCUCAGGCUGAGGGCCCCAAUAUGUGUGGGUAUGGGUGGGGAUUUGUCUGCUGAGUAAGGAACACUAUUUUCAAGAUUCUAAAGCUCAAUUCAAGUGACACAUUAAUGAGAAACUCAGAUCUGAUCAAGAGUCUAGAUCUCUAACAGUCCUUGCUUUGGGGGUGUGCCGACAACUUACCUGGUGCCUUACACCUUUCUAAUCAGUGUUGCAUAUGAGCCCGCCCUCACUCCCUCUGCAGAGUCCCUUUGCACCUGAGAGCCUACAGAAGUGGCUGGUAGAAAAAGGGGCCUGAACGGAGGAUUGUCAGUAUCACGAAUUGCAGGAUUCCCUUCUGGGCUUCAUUCUGGAGAUUUUUGUUAGGGUUGUUUUUCUUAAGUGCCCACAUUUGAUGGAGGGUGGAAGUAAUUUGAAUGUAUUUGAUUUAUCAUCUUUUUUUUUUUUAGGUUAAAAGAUGGUUGUAGCAUUUAAAAUGGAAUUUUUUCUCUUUGGUUUGGUAGUAUCCUGAGUGUAUUCUCUGUAAGUGUGGCUCAAAUGGGUCAGCAUGAAAGGUUAAAUAAAGCAAGGUGGCAAUGCUAUGCUGGUGGUUAAGGCCAGGGCCUCUCCUACCACUGUGCCACUGACUUGCUACGUGACCCUGGGCAAGUCACUUAACUAUAAUGUGCCUCAGUUUUCCUUCUGUUAAAAUGGGGAUAAUAAUACUGACCUACCUCAAAGGGCAGUUUUGAGGCGUGACUAAUGCUUUUUAUAAAGCAUUUUGGGAUCCUUCAGCACAGGAAUUCUCAAGACCUGAGUAUUUUUUAUAAUAGCAAUGUCCACCAUGAACUUACUGUGUCCAUGUGUCCCGGAUGCUAUCAUUAGUUUUCAUUAGUCUAUAUGGUUCUCCAAGAGAUUGAAUGAAUUGUCCCAUGGUUAAUCUUGAUGAAUUGGAGAAGUAGUAGAUAACUAGCCAGAAGAAAAUUUGAGAAUGCAUAAACUCAUUGCCAUGGAAACAUACGCAGGAUACCUUUUCUUUGAUUGGGUGGGAUUUUUCCCUUUUUAUGUGGGAUAGUAGUUAUUUGUGACAAAAUAAUUUUGGAAUAAUUUCUAUUAAUAUCAACUCUGAAGCUAGUUGUACUGAUCUGAGAUUGUGUUUGUUCAUAAUAAAAGUGAAGUGAAUCUGA